rnacentral:lncRNA from 1 species
CUGAAGUGAUUCUCCAGCUUCAGCCUUACAGACGAGUACCACCAACACCUGGCUAAUUUUUGUGUAUGUGUGUGUGUUUUUUUGUAGAGAUGGAGUUUCGCCAUGUUGCCCAAGCUGGUCUCAAACUCCUGAGCUCAAGGGAUCCAGCCACUUCAGCCUCCCAAAGUGCUGGGAUUACAGGUGUGAGCCACCGCGCCUGGCCUUCUUUGUCCAUUUCUAAUCCUGGGGUCCUAUGACUCCUAGCAUGAAGCUUUCCUCAACAGGCUUCUCAGAUAUGUAUUGACUCCAGCCACAUGAGCUAGAGACUGUUUUCAGAGUCAUCCUGGUCAGUUCUUGACAACCUGGUAGCCACCAGACCACAGAAGGGCAGGUGAACCUGUCUCGAUCCACUUAGAGGUUCUGCAAGGUUCUUGGAGCCUGGCUGGAGGAGCCUCCUCAGCAGCACUGCUGUGUCAAUGUCUAAUAUUAAGGAUAUAGCUUAAACACAGUCUUCUCUCCAACUCCAUCUUGGAGAGGAUCCCUGGAGGUACAGAGAGAAGUAAAGAAGGUACUUUCCCAGGUGUUAGGGAUACAGCAAUGGAUAUAUGGUGUAUGCCUUCAAGGGGUUCCAGGUCUUGGGGAUGAAACAGAGCAUAAAGCAGAAGGAAGGACAAAGCAAGAAGCUAUCGUGAUGAUUGGUUUACGGACCUGUGGAUCACAAAAGGGGUUGCCUAACUCAGUCCGAGGGCAAGUGGGAGUCAAGAAUUCAUUCAAGUCACUGAAUGACUGCAUGAAACUUCUAGAACUAAACCUUUUACAAAGUAGGAAAAAGAAAUAAAAUGUCCUGGGGUCCAUGCCUAGUGAUUAAAAUCAAACUCAAGAUAACAAAAUAUAUAGAUUCUGCACUUGAUCAGGGCAAAAUCUGGUCAGCCAAAUACAUUCAUGAUACUAAUCAUAACCAGGAAUUCCAGGGGCAUAUCUAUUCCACCCAAGCAUAAUGAAAAAUGGGACAUAUAACUCAACCAGAAUGUUGUUCUUCUCUGCUCACACAGCAGGCAUAUACUUUUUUCAUUCAGUUGCACGUCGUGAAUUUAUUUCCACAAUGAAGAAUGCUUACAAGUCACCUCCCAGUCCAUGAUGGAAAAAAACAGGCAUGCAGACUCAACUCUCAUUUUUUCCCCAAAUUUGGCUGACAAGCCAGAAGCAAAGUUGAUGGUUUCAGAUAAUAUCAAACUGACUAUUGACCCAACCACUCCCAGCUGUCAAUCCAGAUACCAGUAGUUUGAGACAAAUGGCAAACUUUCUCCAGCAAGAGUCACAUUUUGUACUAAAGAUGUAAAUGAAUGGCAGACCCGAAUGCAAUGUUAUCCUCUCAGUUUGGGACUUAAAGGAGAAGAUGAAGGCAGGAAAAGACAACCAGCAUUAGCUCCACACUGAGGUGCACUGGGCUUGAUGGACCCAGGUUCUCUCCCUGAAGAGGGGAUUAUCAAGCCUAUUUUACACAACAGUAAAUUCAGGCUCAGAGAGGUUGAGUCAUUGGCCUGAUAUCAAAAAGCUGGAGAAGGUAGAGGUGGGAUUCAAAUCCAGGUCUGUCCAAUGGGGAAGCUAUAGCCUGUUGCCUCAGUCUCAUUCUCCUUUGUGAAAAGUAACAAACCUGGCCAGGUGCAGUGGAUCACGCUUGUAAUCCCAGCACUUUUGGAGGCCAAGGUAGGCGGAUCACCUGAGGUCAGGAGUUCGAGACCAGCUUGUCUUGGCCAACAUGGCGAAACCCUGUGUCUACUAAAAAUACAAAAUUAGCCAGGGGUAGUGGCGAGUACCUGUAAUCCCAGCUACAUGGGAGGCUGAGGCAGGAGAAUCACUUGAACCCAGGAGGCGGAGGUUGCAGUGAGCUGAGAUCGUGCCACUGCACUCCAGCCUGGGUGACAGAGUGAGACUGUCUCAAACAAAAACAAAAACAGACCUGUGAGAACAAAGCUAUGAAAUGAGGUAGAUGUGAGAUGAGAGGGGGAUAGCAGAAUAUUUCUUGGAAGCCACUGUCUGUGAGGGUAAGAGGGGCAACGACAUUUCAGUUACAGGGGAGAGUUGUCUCUAGUAGAAUAAUUCCUUGAGAAGCCACCUGGCCCAGAAACUCAGGCCCUAGGAGAACAGCAACUGCCUUACAGAAGGCAGAAAAUUGCUAGGGAACAUGGGGUGUGCAAUAUUUCCCUCCCUGUGACACCCCCUCCCUCAACAAUAUACUGUCACAAAAGUUACUAAAAAUAUGAAAUGCUUGCUGUGAAUGCGUAUCUCUUGGAAACCAGCAAGGAGGUGGGCUUCUUGUUCAGAAUGUGGGAGUGGAGUAGAAACCACCUUCACAGAAAGGCUGGAGGCAGCACCUCAUGGGAACUCACAGAAAUCCUGAGGCAGGUUCCAUACUGUCCAAUCAGAUCUCCAGAAGGCAGGUAGGUUCUUGAAGCAUCUAGGCUGGGCAGGGCUGAUCCAGGACACCUGAUCUCUUAGUUACACCAGCAUUGCCUGCUUCUGCAUCAAGGGAUAGCCAUGCAUUUCUUCCUCCUGGCCUUAGUUGUUCUCCUUUACUUCUCAAAGUACCCCCAGUUCCAUAACCCAUUUCCUAACCCAUUGUCUUCUCAUCUCCCCAUUCUCUAUCCUUCACAGAUUUUGGCCCUCUGUACUUAUCAGUAGCCUGCUACAGACUUAACUCACUCCUCUAGGAUGAAGGCCAGUAAGCCUGGGCCUGAAGGCCAAAUCCAGCUCCCCACCUAUUUUUGUAAAUAAAAUCUGAUUGGAACACAGCCGUACUCAUUCAUUUACAUAUUGAAUAGCUGCACCAGAGACCCCAUGGCCCUCGAAGUCCAAAAUAUUUAUUGUCCAGCCAUUUAAAAGAAAGUCUGCUAUCCCUUGCUCCAGAAUAUCAAGUCCUUAAAGCCUGGGGCUCUGUUUCAUUCAUCUCUUUAUCUCCAGUAUGUGAUACAGAAUAAAUGUUGUUUGAUAAAGUGAGUGAAUGCAUGCAUAAGGGUUAGACAGACACGAUUAGAUCAAUUUAACACAGUUGUUACUGCAAAGACACUAAUUGGAAAUCCUUUAAACUGAAAAGAGAUGUUCUAGUUAGCCAUAUUUUCUAUUUAAG